CUACGGGAGGCUGCAGGCGAGAAAACUUUGCAAUGUGCGAAAGCACGACAAGGUUAAUCCGAGUGGUCUCUGCUAAAGGGACCUUUUGACAGUCCUAGAAACACUGUUGAAUAAGGGGUGGGCAAGUUCUGGUGUCAGCCGCCGCGGUAAAACCAGCACCUCAAGUGGUCAGGAUGAUUAUUGGGCCUAAAGCAUCCGUAGCCCGCUUUGCCAGUUUUCGGUUAAAUCCAUAUGCUCAACAUAUGGGCUGCCGGGAAUACUACAAAGCUAGGGAGUGGGAGAGGUAGACGGUACUCGGUAGGAAGGGGUAAAAUCCUUUGAUCUAUUGAUGACCACCUGUGGCGAAGGCGGUCUACCAGAACACGUCCGACGGUGAGGGAUGAAAGCUGGGGGAGCAAACCGGAUUAGAUACCCUGGUAGUC
rnacentral:rRNA from 1 species